GCCGUACCAUGCUGAAUAUACCGGUUCUCGUUAGAUCACCGAAGUUAAGCAUCAUUGGGCGCGGUCAGUACUUGGGUGGGUGACCACCUGGAAACACUGCGUGCCGUU
rnacentral:rRNA from 1 species